UACGUCUGCCUGCAUGUUUGAGUGUUC
rnacentral:piRNA from 1 species